GAGUCAGGUGUCAAGACAGCUCAGUGAACUACUGGUGCAUCUUGGGGCUAAAGCUACUACAGCUAACGUCCUAAGGCAAGAGAGAAAUGUCAGAGGGAGAGUGUCAGAUUGAAGAAAUUGAACUAGUGGGCAGAUACAAAAUGUCAAAUACAUGUCAACAAUCCUUCCUCCAAAAGGACCAUUCUAUGGAUUAAAUGUUGUGAAAAAUCUAAGAAAACACUUGUCAUUUUUGUCCUGGUUUUGUGAAGAAUCAGGGCCUUCCUCCUUGGAAAACUGCUUAGGCUAAGUUUAACAAAACAGCAUUUGAGAACGGACUAAAUUGACGCCAGCUAACCAUCUAGGGGACUGCUCAGAAUCAUCUCCGGGACCCAGUGCCGUUCCGAGGACCUGAGGUUGAGGAACAUCUAGCAGGUGAAGGUUGAAAAUAGCGUCAUCAGCUCAUUGUGAGGCCAGAAGGCAAAAUCAAAAUCUCAGCUAUUUCUUCCUCCACUAAUGACUGAAUUAUUGCAAACUCUGCCAUUGUGAGAGCCUCUUGUUCGAAAUGUUUUAUUAUAGAGCAGUUCCUGUUGGAAGGCGUCCAAAGAAACACCACUUUCAGUCAGGCAGAGCAAGCAGCAUCUACAGCAGCUCAAUACAGCAGAAGGCUGCAGGCUUAAUUGUGUUGUGUUGAAGGAUAAACAGAAACAACGUUGUGACGCAAGUCAUCCUCCAGAGAAUCCAGUCCUUGACUAUCGCACUUUGUCAUGAAACAACAGUUGGCCCAGGUAUGAAACGGCUGACGCUCGACUACUCCUCAAAUCAGGAAACUAAAAGGAAACUGCUGGGCGGAUUGGAAAGAAACAUGUGAACGGCUUACGCUUUCUUCCCAAUGCGCGCUCUGCACUCGCUUCUUUGAAGGGGCCACAAGAUUCACAGUGGAUAUUAUUGGUCUGAUGACAGAGUUGGCUAUGGCUGGGGGGCUUUAUGGCAGUCCAGAGUACAGUAUAUAUGAUAUAAAUGUAUGCAGACAAGUAGGCAUAAAAGGUAUGUCAAUUGGUAUGUUAUGCAGAUCACAUGUACCAUCCUCCGCCCUUACCUCUUCAAAUAAAUUCUCAUAGGCCUCGACAUUAUGGUAUGUGUAUGAAAACCAUUAUGAAAACAUUUUUUUCAUUACCACAAAAACCAAGGUAUGAAUACUGUUGUGUGCAUGUUUUGUUAAACAUCUGUAUAAUUACUGUUUGAUGAAUAUAACAGGAAACCUGUUUGAUCACCAUGCACUGGAAGAUCAUUCUGACUAUGGAUACGGAGAACGUCAACACAUUAACGUCAACACGCCAGAGGAAAGGUGAAAGGGGGAUACCUAGUCAGUGGUACAACUGAAUGCCUUCAGGAUAUACCCAUUGGACUUGGGGCUCUGCUGGGAGUUUACCUCAUAUUUGCAUGUUUUUAUUCUGCUUUGCAACAAAAAUCAUAAUAAACAUUA